UCCUUCUAGUAUAAAUGUACGAGUGACUUCCAAUCACCUAGACUUGGUUAAAGCCCAAGGAAAGAUA
rnacentral:tRNA from 1 species